rnacentral:rRNA from 1 species
AUGGCCAUCUUCGACGAGUUCUAUGUUGGGUCCCUCGAUCUUGGGCGCCUUAAUUACGAGACGAUCUCGCUCAUUCCCAAGGUCCCUGGCGCCUCUGACAUCCGUCAGUUUCGCCCAAUCACGAUGAUCAACGUGAUCUUCCGGAUUCUGGCAAAAGGUUACGCCAAUAGGGUGACCCUGCUCGCGGACCAGAUCACUCACGCCAACCAAUCGGCUUUCAUCCAAGGCCGUUAUAUUCUGGAUGGGGUGCUGGUCCUUCACAAAGUCCUCCAUGAGGUCCGCUCCAAACACCUCAAGGCGGCCUUCCUGAAUAUCGAUUUCCAUAAGGCCUAUGACACUGUUAGCUGGACCUUCCUUCGGGAAGUCCUUCUGCGAAAAGGCUUUGAUGACCGUUGGGUGACGCAGGUUAUGCAAAUGGUCUCGUGUGGGCACACCGCCCUCAACAUCAAUGGGGAGAUCGGUCCCUACUUCCCCGCUUUCUGUGGAGUGAGGCAGGGCGACCCAUUCUCCACAUUCCUGUUUAAUAUGGUGGUCGAUGCUCUUGCGGCCAUUCUGGAUAAGGCCAAGGCCGCAGGCUGA